rnacentral:rRNA from 1 species
AAUAGAUACCCAGGUAGUCCACGCCGUAAACGAUGAGUGCUAAGUGUUGGGGGGUUUCCGCCCCUCAGUGCUGCAGCUAACGCAUUAAGCACUCCGCCUGGGGAGUACGGUCGCAAGACUGAAACUCAAAGGAAUUGACGGGGGCCCGCACAAGCGGUGGAGCAUGUGGUUUAAUUCGAAGCAACGCGAAGAACCUUACCAGGUCUUGACAUCCCGGUGACCACUAUGGAGACAUAGUUUCCCCUUCGGGGGCAACGGUGACAGGUGGUGCAUGGUUGUCGUCAGCUCGUGUCGUGAGAUGUUGGGUUAAGUCCCGCAACGAGCGCAACCCUUAUUCUUAGUUGCCAUCAUUCAGUUGGGCACUCUAAGGAGACUGCCGGUGAUAAACCGGAGGAAGGUGGGGAUGACGUCAAAUCAUCAUGCCCCUUAUGACCUGGGCUACACACGUGCUACAAUGGACGGUACAAACGGUUGCCAACCCGCGGAGGGGAGCUAAUCCGAUAAAACCGCUCUCAGUUCGGAUUGUAGGCUGCAACUCGCCUACA